rnacentral:lncRNA from 1 species
UUCCAACCCACUAACUACAGAGUUGGUUCCCCUGGCAACCAGCCUCCAACUUUAGGUGACCUGGGGCCUUUCUAAAUCACCUUAUUAACAUAACAGAGACAUCUUAAUGGCUCUCCUCUCUUAGGCAAUUCCAAGGGUUUUAGGAGAUCUGUGCUAGGGAUGAGGACGAAGACAAAAAUAUAUAUUUCUCAUUAUAAAUUACAACAUCACACCUUCCAAGAAGACUAACACAAGAAUUCAUCUAGGGGCCGGCCCGGUGGCGCAGUGGUUAAGUGCGCACGUUCCGCUUCUCGGCGGCCCGGGGUUCACCACUUCGGAUCCCAGGUGCGGUCAUGGCACCCUUUGGCACGCCAUGCUGUGCGUGGCUUGCCAAGUGGUGCCAUGUCCACACCCGGGAUCCGAACCGGCGAACCCUGGGCCGCCGGAGGGGAAUGUGUGAACUUAACUGCUGCAUCAUCGGGCAUGCCCCUGCCUCUGCUUCUUUUCCACACAGAAAUACGGCCCCUGCGUACCUUGCUAGGGACAUUUGGUGCCGUGUGCAAAGAAGUUGGGAGGACUGGGCCCACGCCAGCUGUUCCUGGAAGUCUCCUCCCCUUUCCGGGGACCCUGAUGACGCUUUUACUGAAACUGAAGCAGGCUCCCUCCUGGCGAGUUAUAUCAGACUCUCCACCAGCAGUAGUCGUCUCACAGAGUAAGCUACAUUUGCGGCAAAUAGGAGAUCACAAGGAGGCAUUUCCAGAGUCGUGGUGUCCCCCGAACAAAGGGAAGCAGGGACUUUUCAUUUCGGAUGGGGAAUGAGUAUUCAAAAGGGAGGGGUGGGUAUUUGCUUGCACAGCCUCAGCUGGAAAACAUGCUUCCACACACACUGCAGGUGAUGGUAAUAAGGCCUAAGCUCCUCCUGGAGAGAUCUUAGCACUAAAAAUAAGGCAAAGGUAGGGGCUGGCCCCACGGCUGAGUGGUUAAGUUCGCACUCUCUGCUUUGGUGGGUGGCCCAGGGUUUCGCUGGUUCGAAUCCUGGGCAUGAACAUGGCACUGCUCAUCAAGCCACGCAGAGGCGGCAUCCGACAUGCCUCAGCUAGAAGGAUCAGCAACUAAAAGUACACACUAUGUACUAGGGGGCUUUGGGAGAAAAAGGAAAAAUAAGAUCUCUUAAAAAAAUAAAAUAAGGCAAAGGUCACAGGUGGAGCUCUUGUGAGGCCUGGUCUCCUUCAGGGCGGUUGAGUGAUGGCAUCUCUUUA